CACACUCUAGGAACCACCCAAGUCCCUCCAUAGGUCAAAGGGUUCCUUAGCCCAGACUCUAAUCGUCCCUUCAACUAACCACCGGUUCCUCUAGUGCAGAUACUUACACAAGCCAUAAAAGUGACAUAAAUAAAUGAAAGGAGAUGGUGUCAUAGAAACAGGAGUGUAAACACAGCAACUACAGACCUAACAUUCAGCCUUUGUGGUGAGGACAUAGUAGGGAAGGGAAAGGCGGGGCCCAUAGGACUGUUGAGGAAUCAGCUCUAACUGAUGAUUGCCAAUGCAGAUAAAGCACUGGCAGAGUUUUCCAGCUUCUCAACAGAAGCAGAAGUCCAAGUGAUGAGGUUUAAGCUGCAAAGACGUAUUACAUAAGAACAAGGGAAGCUGCUUUAUGGCACGCUGGUGAAGGAUCCUGCUGAUUCCUCCUGAGCGGCUCUCGACUUCCUUUAUGGCAUCAAAGGCCCCAGAAACUGUUAGUGAAGAUGACGUGGAGGAGGGGAUAAUUUUUCUGUUUCCUGAGGUGCCGUUUCUCCUUGUAUGCUUGCUGUUUGGGAAGUUCCAGACCAUGACUGACUGGCCCCAUUGCUCUGGGCCUGUGGCACGGUAGCACAUCACAUUGGGAGCGUGUGGAAGAGCAAAACCACUCACCCCAUGGCCCGAAGGGAGGAAGAGGAAGGGGCUAAGGUCCCACAGUCCUCUUUCAGGGGACCUGACAACCUCUGGAUAGGCCCCACCUUUCAACUUCCGCCAUCUCUCAAAAGCACAUCUAACCUUUAACACACUGGGCCUCUCUCUGGGGGACCCUCAACAUCCAAACUAUAGCAGCACCUAAAUAACAACCUUAAGUAACCCACAGAUACUUCAGCUCCCCUUGCCCAAAUUAAUGACAUUCUCCAACAAAAUACAGCCCUGACCCCAUUAUCAAACCCUAAGUGGCUUUCAAAUAAUGCCCUAAGACCUUAUAAUACCUGUCCUAUAAUCAAGUUUCUA
rnacentral:lncRNA from 1 species